rnacentral:rRNA from 1 species
GACGAACGCUGGCGGCGUGCUUAACACAUGCAAGUCGAGCGGUAAGGCCCUUUCGGGGGUACACGAGCGGCGAACGGGUGAGUAACACGUGGGUGACCUGCCCUCAGCUCUGGGAUAAGCCCGGGAAACUGGGUCUAAUACCGGAUAUGACUCCAUGACGCAUGUUGUGGGGUGGAAAGCCUUGUGCGGCUGAGGAUGGGCCCGCGGCCUAUCAGCUUGUUGGUGGGGUGAUGGCCCACCAAGGCGACGACGGGUAGCCGGCCUGAGAGGGCGACCGGCCACACUGGGACUGAGAUACGGCCCAGACUCCUACGGGAGGCAGCAGUGGGGAAUCUUGCGCAAUGGGCGAAAGCCUGACGCAGCGACGCCGCGUGAGGGAUGACGGCCUGGUGU